CUGCUUCUACUUUCUGUAUGGAGCUGGGAGCGUCUGCCUGUUGGACGCCCGAAGAGCGUCAGGUUUGAUCCUUGGUAUGCAGAUGAACAUGACGAAUUACGGCGCCCCACGUGGGCUUACAAGUGGGAUAUCGUUUCCGAGAUGACGAACGAUGUCAACCUCAUGUACCAAAAGUACAUUGCCGAGUUGGACACGAUUACGCCUGAGCAGGUAAGGAGGUCAUUACUUUAG
rnacentral:rRNA from 1 species